GACGAACGCUGGCGGCGUGCCUAACACAUGCAAGUCGAACGGAAAGGCCCUGCUUUUGUGGGGUGCUCGAGUGGCGAACGGGUGAGUAACACGUGAGUAACCUGCCCUUGACUUUGGGAUAACUUCAGGAAACGGGGGUUAAUACCGGAUAGGAGCUCCCGCUGCAUGGUGGGGGUUGGAAAGUUUCGGCGGUUGGGGAUGGACUGGCGGCUUAUCGGCUUGCUGGUUGGGUAGUGGCAUACCAAGGCAUUGACGGGUAGCCGGCCUGGGAGGGUGAACGGCCACAUUAGGCCUGAGAUACGGACCAGACUCGUACAGUAGGCAACGGUGGGGAGUAUUACACAGUGGGCGGAAGCCUGAUGCGGCAACGCCGCGUGCGGGAUGACGGCCUGCGGGUUGUGAACCGCUGUCGCCUGUGACGAAGCGUGAGUGACGGUAAUGGGUGAAGAAGCACCGGCUAACUACGUG
rnacentral:rRNA from 1 species